rnacentral:rRNA from 1 species
UACGUAGGGGGCAAGCGUUGUCCGGAAUCAUUGGGCGUAAAGAGCGUGUAGGCGGCUCGAUAAGUCUGCUGUGAAAGUCCAGGGCUCAACCCUGGAAGGCCGGUGGAAACUGUCGGGCUAGAGUCCGGAAGAGGCGAGUGGAAUUCCCGGUGUAGCGGUGAAAUGCGCAGAUAUCGGGAGGAACACCAGUGGCGAAGGCAGCUCGCUGGGACGGUACUGACGCUGAGACGCGAAAGCGUGGGGAGCAAACAGG